AUACCAUCCACCGCUUACACUAAAAGACAUCUCGUUCACCAAUUUUCCGAUGCAAAAUUUUUCGAAUUUAUCCACUGAAUGAACAAAAAUUUUCAUUGUAUAUCUUUUUAUAACACUUAUUCUACCAAAAAAUUAUACAUUCUGCUCACAUUUCUGCUUAUUUUCGAAAAAAACACGAUAAAUUUGCCUGGUUCUCUGAAAAUAUUCGCGAUUGUAAUUUCGGCACAGUCUUAUUUUCGAACACAAUUCACACUACUACAUUUAUACAUCCAGAGCUGCUAGUUUUAAUUUCAUCAUUUUGACUAAAAUCCCUAAUACUGAACAGCUUUCGUCUACCAACUGGCACCCAGGCUAAAACACAUACACGCUAAUUGGCUUACACCCUUUUGCAAAUUCAGGCAAUUAUUUUUGACAGGUGUUGUAGAAUAAGAACACAGAUACGUAAAGCUGUUGUUUUGUUUGCUUGUACAGGUACCGAAGUGUCUUUAUAGUAUCGAAAACAUAUUUCUAAUAGUUAAUUAGGUUGUAUAAAUGGACACGGCUAUGAAUCGCACGACGAGCCGCUGCAAAAUCGUGCAGGCACCGCCAAAGAAAUUGGCAAUCGAGCCGGCUCUGCUAAUGGAUUUGUCGCUGAGAAAAAAAUUCUGUUGUGAAUGCUUCACAUUUGGAACCAGCACCCGUUUUGAACAAUCCGCAGCGUGAUUUGCAGUCAUCUGUGUUGACGGAAUGUGACCCGCUGCUGUCGCAAAUAUCUCAAUGUUUUGAAUCACUACUUUAUAAUAACAAUACAGGAAAACAGACUCAUCAACGAUACAGUCAGAUGCAUUUGAAUAGCGUCGUGGAAAAGGUUCGCUGUAAGACUUUAACUGUGUAUAAAGCUUGGAAGUCUUUCGGCAUCCCACGAACUACAAUACAAUAUCGUCUCAGCGACAAUUAUAAACAUAAGGGUUCAAGAGGUCCCAGAACAGUGUUUACUGUAGAGGAAGAAAAUAAAAUUGCCAACUGGUUGCUGGAGAUGCAACGAAAAGGGUUUCCUGUUACCGUUGAUAAUUUGAAACAUAAAAUAUCCAGCUACUUAGAAUCAAACCCCAGACCAAAUCUAUUUCGGAAAAAUGUUCCAGGGAAAAGCUGGGUUAAAGGUUUUUUUCAAAGGCACCCAGCGCUCACAAUUAGGAAACCAGAAGCAGUAACGAAAGCCAGUGCAUGCGUGACUGAAAAAGAUAUUAAAAAUUGGUUUCAAACCGUACUUGAUUAUUUCACGGAACACAAUUUGAUAGAUGCACUGAAUGAUGCCUCACGAGUCAUUAAUGGCGAUGAAACAGGAUUCCUAUUGAAUACAUGUCCAUCACGAGUUAUUGCCAAAAAAGGAGACAAGAACAUACCCAUUAUAGAGAUUGCAACAACUAAAAAAAAACAUUACUGUUUUGUACUGCUUUUCCGCCGAUGGAUAUGCCUUUCCACCAGAUGUUAUCUUAGCAUACCGGCGGCUGCCUAAGGAUAUUAUACGUAGCUUUCCUGGUACUUGGGGACUCGACACUAGUGACAAUGGAUGGAUGACUACCAAAAAUUUCGUUCUUUGCAUUAGAAAAUUGAUUUACCCAUCGUUAGUAGAAAGGAAAGUGAAAUUCCCUGUUAUUUUUUUCAUCGAUGGCCAUAAGAGUCAUACGACAUUUGAAGCCGCGGAAGCGUGCCUAGAACUCGGGAUCGUGCUGGUAGCUUUACACCCUAACGCAACUAGAAUCAUACAGCCUGCUGAUGUAGGCAAUUUUGGACCAUUGAAGAAAAGCUGGAACAGAUGUGUGGAAAAUGUCCGACAGCAAGGCCAUGAAAUAACGUUAAAAAAAUUUGGACCAGUACUAGAGCAAGCCAUGAGUGAGUCCUUAAAACAAACAACAAUAAUCAGUUCAUUCCGUCGCUGUGGAAUAUUUCCAUUCAACGCUAAUGCUGUAGACUACAGUAAGUGUUUGGGAAAAUCAGUUGAUCGCGGUAACGGUUCUUCUUUAAACUCUGAGCUUGGAAUUUUUAAUGACACUUUGCAAAAUACUUCUCAACCUUCAACGUCGAAUUCGUUGUGGCCAAUAAAUGAAUCAGAGGAAACACAUCAAUCAGUGAAAGAAAGAGAUUUGAAUUUUUCGAGAGAUUUUAAAGAAGAGGCCGCAUAUAAACUCAUUCAAAUUGAGCCUCAAAGCAUAAAACAGGACCUCAUUGCGGACGAAAUUAGUAACAGCGAAACUAUUAAAAAUAGGCGCUUGUCGGAAUUUUUAUUAACACCACCAACUCCGACACGAAAAGGAAAACAUAUUAAUUUUAAACAAAAGUCAUAUUCAAUUUUAACAGCAGCAGAAAGGUUGACAGAGUUGCGAAUUGAAGAAGAAGGGAAAAAUGCAGAAAUGAAAAAAAAGCCGAAGCGGUCGCGAAAAGAGCAGCACUGAAGGCAGAGAAAAUGCAACAGAAGAAAAUCAAGGACGAAGAAAAAGCUCUGAAAGUGAAGGAGAAGGAACGGAUUCAAGAGUUAAAGGAACAGCAAAACAAUAGCAAAAAAGAAAUGAGAAAAGGUGGAUGUAAAACUAAUCACCAUACCCAACACCCAAUUAGUUUGAAAGUUAUAAGAUAAGUAUUUGGAAAAGAAAAAAUUUAAGAUAGGGAGAUUUAAGAGUUUUUCUUUUACAACAUUUUCAUACAAAAAAAUAGAAUUUGUUAUGAAAUUGUAUAUCGUGUCC